rnacentral:lncRNA from 1 species
CGUCACACCGCAGACCUGCUCGACGGGUCGUAGUUCCAGGCCGUCGGAGGGCAGAAACUCGCGGGAGAAGUCCGCGGUGUCCGCGGCAUGACCACGCAGGGCCGACGGAGACACGGUGCGUGCCUGGUGCGCCUGCGGGACAACUGUCCUUUCCGCAAGCUGAGGAAAUGUCGCUGUCGCAGCCAGACCGCCAUGGACACAGAUGCUGCAUACCAGGCUGGGCCAAGUUAUCCCAGCAUGCAUUUGGACUCCCCUCCUUUCCCGGGACCAUCACGUUUAAACAGUGUUGGUGUUCCCCAGAAUCACCGGUCGGUACCAAGCGACUGCGGGAUGGAACUUGAUAAUGAUGUGGACCCUGAGACGGGGGAGAGGGCGUUGGGAUGAGGGACGCCGGAAGAUGGAGAUCUAGGCACACUUUUCAUGUCUCAAAAGUGGACUGUUUGUUCAUGUGGCUGAAGACCUCAGGGAAGUUCAGGACUUUUGUCUUCUUUUUUUUUACCCCCUUAAAUCUUAUACUUAGUAGCUAUUUGCUUUCCACAAAUCUGUCUGUACAAAAUGGUAAUAGUUGCUGUGAAACGUGAUCGAGAUUUUUACAGAAAGUGAAUGAACUGCAGUAGGUCAGGGCAGACACCGGUUCUGUACUGAAGUUUACAGACGUUUAUGCUUCAAAUUCACCUGUUAUGCAUAAUUUGUAUUAUUCUUUGUGUUUUGAUAUUUUAUACAAAUAAAGCCUCAAAAAAUGUAA